CAGUAGCCCGGGAAAACGUAGGGCGCAAGCGUUGUCCGGAAUUAUUGGGCGUAAAGAGCUCGUAGGCGGUUUGUCGCGUCUGCUGUGAAAACUCGAGGCUCAACCUCGGGCCUGCAGUGGGUACGGGCAGACUAGAGUGCGGUAGGGGAGACUGGAAUUCCUGGUGUAGCGGUGGAAUGCGCAGAUAUCAGGAGGAACACCGAUGGCGAAGGCAGGUCUCUGGGCCGCAACUGACGCUGAGGAGCGAAAGCAUGGGGAGCGAACAGGAUUAGAUACCCGCUAGUCCCUGUCUCUUAUACAC
rnacentral:rRNA from 1 species